CCGACACUGGUGCGCGAGAUGAGUAUUCUAAGGCGCUUGAGAGAACUCAGGAGAAGGAACUCGGCAAAUUGACACCGUAACUUCGGAAGAAGGUGUGCCCUAUUAGUGUGAAGUGAACAACGGAGCAUGAAUGGGUUGCAAAAAAUCGGUGGCUGCGACUGUUUAUUAAAAACACAGCACUCUGCAAACACGAAAGUGGACGUAUAGGGUGUGACGCCUGCCCGGUGCUGGAAGAUUAAAUGAUGGGGUGCAAGCUCUUGAUUGAAGUCCCAGUAAACGGCGGCCGUAACGAUAACGGUCCUAAGGUAGCGAAAUUCCUUGUCGGGUAAGUUCCGACCUGCACGAAUGGCGUAACGAUGGCCACACUGUCUCCUCCUGAGACUCAGCGAAGUUGAAAUGUUUGUGAUGAUGCAAUCUCCCCGCGGAAAGACGGAAAGACCCCAUGAACCUUUACUGUAGCUUUGUAUUGGACUUUGAACAGAUCUGUGUAGGAUAGGUGGGAGGCUUUGAAGCAGGGUCGCUAGAUCUUGUGGAGCCAACGUUGAAAUACCACCCUGGUGUGUUUGAGGUUCUAACCUAGGUCCAUUAUCUGGAUCGGGGACAGUGCAUGGUAGGCAGUUUGACUGGGGCGGUCUCCUCCCAAAGCGUAACGGAGGAGUUCGAAGGUACGCUAGUUACGGUCGGACAUCGUGACGAUAGUGCAAUGGCAUAAGCGUGCUUAACUGCGAGACUGACAAGUCGAGCAGAUGCGAAAGCAGGACAUAGUGAUCCGGUGGUUCUGUAUGGAAGGGCCAUCGCUCAACGGAUAAAAGGUACUCUGGGGAUAACAGGCUGAUACCGCCCAAGAGUUCAUAUCGACGGCGGUGUUUGGCACCUCGAUGUCGGCUCAUCUCAUCCUGGGGCUGUAGCCGGCCCCAAGGGUAUGGCUGUUCGCCAUUUAAAGAGGUACGUGAGCUGGGUUUAAAACGUCGUGAGACAGUUUGGUCCCUAUCUUCCGUGGGCGCUGCAGAUUUGAGGAAGCCUGCUCCUAGUACGAGAGGACCGGAGUGGACACACCUCUGGUGUAUCGGUUGUCACGCCAGUGGCAUUGCCGAGUAGCUAAGUGUGGAAGAGAUAACCGCUGAAAGCAUCUAAGCGGGAAACUCGUUUCAAGAUGAGAUCUGCCGGGGCCUUGAGCCCCCUGAAGAGUCGUUCAAGACCAGGACGUUGAUAGGUCAGGUGUGGAAGCGCAGUAAUGCGUUAAGCUAACUGAUACUAAUUGCUCGUGCGGCUUGACC
rnacentral:rRNA from 1 species